rnacentral:snRNA from 1 species
AUACUUACCUGGCAGGGGAGAUACCAUGAUCAUGAAGGUGGUUUUCCCAGGGUUCAGGCUUGCCCAUUGUACUUUGGAUGUGCCGACCCCUGCAAUUUCCCCAAAUGUGGGAAACUCGACUGCAUAAUUUGUAGUGGGGGACUGUAUUUGCUCUCUCUCU